rnacentral:tRNA from 1 species
GGUGUUGUGGCUCAGUGAUAGAGCACUUGCCUAGCAUGUGCAAGACAUUGGAUUCGAUCCUUGGCACCA